AUUCCAAAGCAAAUGGCUAUUGUGGUGAUGACCCGAGGUCAGAAACUCAAAGCAGAUCCCUCACUCAUUGUCAAAGGAAAAGCCCACACAGAUCACAUUUGCAAAAUGAAGGCUUCUUUGCAUGAGACUUUUGAUUGAGCUGGCUUCAUUUAAAUACCAAAUUGGGUUCUUCAUCUUCCUGCAAAAGGUCCUUGCUCUGCUCCCACUUUUGCAAGAAGGGGAACUUGCUUCUGGGAAGAGUUAUGCUUUCACUUGGCUCCAGUGCAGUACAGUGUUUCAGAAUUAUGAUACUUGUUCACCCAAUUUAUAGUUCCUCAGUUACUUUCAUGACCUGAGCAACUCUGCUUCAGACUGAUUAAAAAUGAAUAUUUAAUGACCUGUAACAUUGUCAUAGAAAUUUGUAAAAAGGUCAAAUGAGUGAAUUACUUUAUUACAAGCAAAAAUAAAAUGUUUAAU